rnacentral:rRNA from 1 species
AAUGACCUACGGGGGGCAGCAGUGGGGAAUAUUGCACAAUGGGGGAAACCCUGAUGCAGCGACGCCGCGUGAGCGAAGAAGUAUUUCGGUAUGUAAAGCUCUAUCAGCAGGGAAGAAAAAUGACGGUACCUGAGUAGGAAGCACCGGCUAAAUACGUGCCAGCAGCCGCGGUAAUACGUAUGGUGCAAGCGUUAUCCGGAUUUACUGGGUGUAAAGGGAGCGCAGGCGGUGCGGCAAGUCUGAUGUGAAAGCCCGGGGCUCAACCCCGGGACUGCAUUGGAAACUGUAUAACUGGAGUGCAGGAG